rnacentral:rRNA from 1 species
AUACGGAGGAUCCGAGCGUUAUCCGGAUUUAUUGGGUUUAAAGGGUGCGCAGGCGGGAGAUUAAGUCGGCGGUGAAAUUUUGCAGCUCAACUGUAAAAGUGCCUUCGAAACUGGUUUUCUUGAGUAUGGAUGAAGUAGGCGGAAUUUGUGGUGUAGCGGUGAAAUGCAUAGAUAUCACGAGGAACUCCGAUUGCGCAGGCAGCUUACUAAGCCAUAACUGACGCUCAUGCACGAAGGCGUGGGGAUCAAACAGGAUUAGAUACCCUGGUAGUCCACGCAGUAAACGAUGAUUACUCGCUGUUUGCGAUACAAUGUAAGCGGCUAAGCGAAAGCAUUAAGUAAUCCACCUGGGGAGUACGUUCGCAAGAAUGAAACUCAAAUGAAUUGGCGGGG